rnacentral:piRNA from 1 species
UAUCAGUCAUUGUUCUCCCAAGCCUGGGAC